rnacentral:rRNA from 1 species
GACGAACGCUGGCGGCAUGCUUAACACAUGCAAGUCGAACGGAAAGGCCCUGCUUUUGUGGGGUGCUCGAGUGGCGAACGGGUGAGUAACACGUGAGUAACCUGCCCUUGACUUUGGGAUAACUUCAGGAAACUGGGGCUAAUACCGGAUAGGAGCUCCUGCUGCAUGGUGGGGGUUGGAAAGUUUCGGCGGUUGGGGAUGGACUCGCGGCUUAUCAGCUUGUUGGUGGGGUAGUGGCUUACCAAGGCUUUGACGGGUAGCCGGCCUGAGAGGGUGACCGGCCACAUUGGGACUGAGAGACGGCCCAGACUCCUACGGGAGGCAGCAGUGGGGAAUAUUGCACAGUGGGCGGAAGCCUGAUGCAGCAACGCCGCGUGCGUGAUGACGGCCUUCGGGUUGUAAACCGCAUUCGCCUGUGACGAAGCGGGAGUGACGGUAAUGGGUAAAGAAGCACCGGCUAACUACGUG